GCGGCCCCGGACUGGGUUCCGAGAGCGAGCCACCCCUCCGCCUCGAGCAGGGGCUGGGUGGAGCCGGCCCCCGGCCCUUGCGGAGGGGGUUGCUGCCUACCUUUUUGCCUUGUUUUAGAAUUCGGCUGUCAGUCAAGGGUAAAUAAUUUGCUUUGAUGGAAAGCUCUCUCUAUUCCAGUGCACUGUUCAGCACUAGGUAAGGAGACUAAUUUAGAAUCCACAAACUCCAUAUGCUUAGUUUGAUGAUGAUAUAAAGUCAUUUCAUACUCACUUGCCCUAAAUCAUCUGUAAUUUUUAGUUUAAGUCUGUUAAAGGAUAGUUUUCAAAAUUCUCUUACCUUUCAGUAGGCUUAUUUUAAUUCUUUUGAACUCAACAUUUGACUAAGAUGGUUUCUCCAAGAGAGACUCAUUUAAUCAUUCUGAGAAUAGGUAGUGAAUUUUUCUGUCAUAUGCGUAACAGUCAUCUUGAUAGGAAUUAUCAGCACUUUGCACAACUAUGGAGAAACAGAUACUAGUUUAAUACAUUUUUAUAAGUACUUUUAUUAAAAUUUUUUAUUUUAUACAGUUGUCAGCAUAUGAAGGUUGUUUUAUAAGGGUGUAAUGAAUUCUAAGGUAGCUCUUUUGUUGCUUUGGUAAAGAAAAAGAGGUAGAUAUUUUCAAAUUCUGUUUAAAUCAUGGCAGUAAUUUGACCUAGAAUUCAGAUUUGAAAUUUGAUAUUAUAUCUGAGAUUUUUUUUGUCCCAUUAUAAUUUAUUAUAAUUAAAUUUUUUCCAGUUGUAUUCUACAGUUUAUUUGUAGAGUAGUAUUGUACUUUUGGAGAGUAGUUGGAAGAAAGAAAUUUAGAAAAUGCUAAAAUAAAUUGUCAGAGUAUUCUUCCUCAUAAUAAUCAGAGAAAGGACAGUAGACUAAAACCAUUGUGUUGAUGGUGGUCCAUAGCAGUAUUGAGUCAAUAAAGAAAAUUAAGCUCUCUUAGGAACCAAGAAACUGUUAUGUGUCCGCCAGAGCAUCUUUGACUAGCAGCACAUUACUAAGAAGUCCAAGUGAGGAUGUAGAGUUCUACUCUUGGCACACUUUUAGGUCUUUCAGAUCAGCUCCUGUUUCGCAGUGGCUUCAUUAGAUCCCAGGGAUGAUUUCCCCAGCCUUUUCCUGGGCUACAGACAUCUUAUUACUUCAUUCCUUAAAAGCUUUCGAGUAGCUCUUGAUUGCCCCCUGGAUAAAAGUCCAUUUUUUUGUUUUGUUUUGUUUUUUGUUUUUUAGUGUGGCAUUUAAUCCCUUUGGUGAUAUGCUGUCUCCUCUUGUAAAACACCUGUUCAUCUGCACAUAUCCAUACUUUUCACCCUGAGAAAGAAAAACCCUUCUCAUAUUCAAGCUUGUUUGUUCUCUUUUUGUUGGUUAAGGUAAAAUCCCUCAUGACUCAUACUUAGACCGUGUUUCCUCGGAUAUUUUCCCUCUCAUGAUUUCAACCACUGGCUUCUUCCUUUAAAACCUACAAAUACACAUAAGUCUUUCAUUUUAAAAACAAAUAAGCAAACAAAAUAACUUCUUUGACUCCUGGCUCCUUCUGAUAUUUGUCCCUUUCUCUCCCUCAUUUCCUUUGCAGUCAGACUUGGAAAAUUGUCCCUCUUCACUGUCUACUUUCUCACCUUUCGUCCACUGUAGUACUGCUUCUGUCCUCACUGCUUAUUGAUUGCUGAUCGCAUUGAGCAUUUCCAGUGCUUCUCUUUUUGGCACUUGACAUUAUUAACAAUUUUUCUUUUUAAAAAUUUAAGUCUUUUGACUUCUGUGUAAUUGUCUUCUAAUUUUCUUUGCUGUCUUUAUUGUCUCAUUUGUGGGCUUUUUCUGAAUUGCUAAUGUUUCUGAGAUUCUGAUUUGGUUUUAUCUCUGAACUCCUUGUUCAGUCUCAUUGUUUUGAUGACUUCUCUUCCUUGCUCUUUCUUUGCCCAUGUUGGUUCACACCCAAAUUUAUAUUUUAAUUGAGACUUUACAGUAGUCAGUUUUAGAAUUGCUUAUUGACUGUCUGGAUUUGAAUUUUAACUCAAGACUUUUUGCGGGGGAGGGGCAGAGGGAGAGAGAAUCUUAAGUAGGCUAGGAGCCCUACACAGGGCUCAUCUCACAGCCCCGAGAUGACGAGCUGAGCCAAAAUCAAGAGUCGGGCUCUUAACUGACUGAGCCACCCAGGCACUCCUUAACUCAGACAUAUCAAAGUUUUAUAUCCCAAAUGGAUUUUUUAUAACCCAAGCCUACUAGUCUUCCCAUAUUUUUAAUAUUCUGUGGUAUCAUGAUUGCUUAUACCAGACAUACUCUGUAUAUCUUUUAAUUAAAAUCUGUAUUUCUGCAUCCCAGAGAUAACUCUUGAAUCUCUUUUAAAACAACUCUUUUAAAUAUAUUCAUUUUAAUUCAUUAAAUUAUACAAUAAAGAUUUGAGUUUUUGCUAUGUGUCAUAAGUGUUGAAUUAGUGUUAGAACUACAGUUUUGAAUAAAACAGAAUCUGUUAUUCAUGAGGCAAUUCCAGUGGGAGAGAUAGACACCAAUCUGUUUAUCAGAACCAGGAGAUGUAGCUAUGAAGUAGUGUGUAGUGCUAUGAAAAUGUGAAAUAGAAGACUUUGGUCUGGAAAGAAAAUAAUUGUCUAAGAUUUUCUAAGAAUGAGCGGUUUCCUGGGUGAAGAAGAAAGGAAAAUGCAGUAGGAGUUGCAUGUAUUUGUAAAGAUCCUGUGGCAGGAGGGAGGAUGAAACAUUUAAUGUUACUUAACAUGUUAAACUAACAUUUCAUGAGUGUUGUGCUGGUUUGUUGGUUGAGUAAGGAGUUUUGUUUUUAUCCUAACCCACUGAGGGACUUUAAGUGGGAGGAAUGGUAGAGGUAGAGGGAAUGGAGUGAUAAUCACAUACAUAUUUAAAAAAAAAAAAAAAGCCCGACAUAAUUCUGGCAACAACAUCAGAUAAUAUUAGAGGGGAAACAGAGAUGAAUUAGGCAAUUGUUCCGGUCCAGGAAAGAAGUGACAGCUUGGUCUGAGGUAUUGGAGAUGGUGAAAAGUUAGAGGGUCAAGCCAAUGAGACUUGGUGGUCUAUUAGAUAAGCUUAUGCAGAGUAAAGGUAUCUUGGAUGUCUCUAAGAUUUCUGACUUAAUGUAACUGGAGGAAUGGUGUUGCUGUGUGCUGAGCUAAAAAAAGAAACACUGGAUAUUUGAAUGAGGACCACAUGUGUUUUUCUUGGGGUGUUUGGGAGAGUGAUAGGAGGAGGACCCUGAUUUCAUUAGGUAUGUUAGAUGUUUUCAGGUCCUUUCAAGAUAAUUAAUAAAAGGUAACUUAGUAGGUUUUGGUUAUAUGGAUAUGUUACUGAGGGAGAGGUCUGGGGUUUGGAUAAUUACUUUAUUUUGGGUGAUGAGCUCUUGUCUUUUUUCUACUAGUCUGUAAAUAGGCCUGCUUUUCACUAGUGUCACACUGCUGCUAGAACUACCCUUUGUAAAAUGCAAACCCAGUAUUAUUGCUCCUUUGGUUGAAGAACCUGGCAUGUUUUCCCAUUAUGUAGAUUAAAAAGUCCAAAAUCCAAUGCCUACCUCUUCAUUUCUCUUCGUAGCUCUGGUUACAUGAAACAAACAUUUUAAGCUGUUGCAAGACUUUGUAAAGGCUCUGUCCAGAGUAUUGUUCUCCCUCACAUUUGUCAAGCAGUCUCCAGUCCAGUCUUCACUUUUGUGAAGUCUUUGACUUUGAGGUCCAUAUUGGUCAUCACCUUCCUUCUUCUGCAGACCACUAUUGAACCUUGUGCUUAUCUGUAAUAUCACAUUACAUAGUAUUUAUGCUUGUGUAUUUUUUCUCUUCCAAACUGUAGGGUUAACUAUUUGAGGAUAUACUUGUUUUAUUUUUAUGUCCAUGGUAACAAGAUCUGGCAUGGAUGAUGGCCCAAUAAAUGUUGAUUGUGUUUAUAGGACUCUGAUGAUUUCUCCUAUAAUUCCAUGGUUUUCAUCUUGGAUCUCUUUUCAGUGGGGUUUUCAACUGUCUUUGCAGGUAGUUGUGUUUUCAAAUUUUUUUUAGUUCCAAAAGAGAUUGUAGGGUAUUUUGUUAAAAGCUGACUAACCAUGAAUCUUUCUCAUCAUUGUGCUUUACCCUUUUUUGUUUGUGAAGUGUGAAGCAGGACUAGGUGAUUUCCUGGAUAGUUUUUCUGGCCUUAAAGGUUUUGAAUAUGUGUGACAGCUGAGAACAAAAAGAAAACAAGAUGUUUCUGUAAGUGGACAAAUAUAUAUAAGGAAUUGGGAAAACUUGAUUUAUUCUUGAAGUUUGGUAUUUUGUGAUUGUUAGUGCUGGUAAUUUUUUUGUUGGCUUACUGUAUUAGUUACCUUUUAAUUUCCUUUAGGUAAGACCUUCCUUCACCAUGCAGAGGUAUUCUGUGAGGAGAGUCUGUUAGCAAGCACCCUUUUAUUUUCCCAGAGGCACUUGCUGCCCUCUCUUUUUCCUGUGCUUUUGGAUCUUAACCUUGACGGACUAUUCAUUGGAGUCCUAGUUAGCUGCCUUUCAGAGGAGAAGGUGGUUAAUGUUAAUACGAAAUGAAUCUUACUUUUCUCUUCAACUGUUAAAAGUUGUUUUAAAAGAAGAUUAAAUGUAAGAGGGUUGCUCUUACAUGCAAAAGCUUGUUUAUUUUAACUGAAAUGUGACUCAAAUUACUAGAUAAAAAGUUUAAAACUUCUUAUGAAAGCUUUCAAAUAUUCAUAAAAAUACUGUAAUGAACCUUUAUACUUAAAUCUAAUAACUUCAUAUCCUUAAAUUUAAUAAUCACAGCAGUUUAUCACGUUUGUUUAUUUUUUGUAUGUUUGCUACUGGGUUUUAAAUGGAUUGUGGAUAUCAAACAUUUCAAACCUAAGUACCUGAGCUUGCUUUUUUAAUAAAGGGACAUUUUCUUUACAUAAUUAUAAUGUCAUUAUCUUAAAACCAAAAAUAAUUAUUUAAUACCAUUUAAUAUUUAAUCUGUACAAAUUUCCCUAAUUGUAUUUUUGUUUUUAAGCUGUUCAUUCUUCCGUGUAUUGCAUUUGGUUGCCAUGUAUCCAAGUCUUACUUUUAAACACCACCUCUCCCACCUCUUUUUUUUUCUUUUUCUUGUCAUACUAUUUACUCGUUGAGAAAGAUCAGAUUGUUCAGUAGAAUUUCUGAUAUUCUAGAUAUGUCUGAAAUGUGUUUCCUGUAAAUUUGGAUUUAGAUUUGAAGGCUUGAUUAGAUUUAGGUUUCAGUAUUUAUUGGUAAAAAUACUUCUUGGAUGGAAUUCUGUCACAUCAGGUAUAAUGUCUGGUUAUCCCAGUUUUAGUGAUGCUCAUUUGUGGUAACAGCCUUCAUAGAAAAGUUGCGUAGAUAUGAGCCUGUUUCUGGUAAUAUGUGCAAAAAAAGA